ACUUUCAAUACUCUGACUGAUAAAUUUCUCUUUUUCUUCUUUUGUGUCUAUGAACAGGUCUGCCAGGGCAGCGUGCCACAGGGAGCACUAUGGGUAAUGUAGUCCAAAGGGUGAAUGUGGUUCUUAGGGAGCGUGGAGACAGACUGACUCGUGCUGAGGACAAGACUGUGGAGCUGAUGCACAAAACCCAGCAGUUUGCAGACACCGCUCACAAGCUGGCCCUGAAGUUUUCAAAGUAGAGUCAGUUGGAGGAUGAAUGGAAUUCUUCAGGAUGUCAAACAUAAAUCCUGUAACAUGGACACUAACACUGUCUGAUGCAGUAUGCGCCCAGCAGAUACAGCUAACUCCUCAUGAAUGUAUAUAACUGAGUGCAAGGGCGCCUGGAUAGCUCAGUGUGGGCGCCCAUAUGUAGAGGUUUACUCCUCGACGCAGCGGGCUCAGGUUCGACCUGCAGCCCUUUUCUGCAUGUCAUUCCCCCUCUCUCUCCCCUUUCAUUUCUUCAGCUGUCCUGUCAAUAAAGGCCUAAAAUGCCCAAAAAAUAAUCUUAAAAAAAAAUAACUGAGUGCAACACAGAGAACUAAAUACUCUGUCUUUGUAUUUUUUGCUCUUGCUGUUGGAUACACCUCUUUCCCAGAGUCUCAGGAUCAUCUGCAAUGUGUUUAGUUUAAAUGUUUUGCCUGUUGUCAAAUGAAUCUCCUGUCCAUUAUAAGAAAAAGAAAGCUGGACUUGUAGAUUUAAGCUGCAGUUAUUUAACAUUGUAUUUAUUUGUAUACUUAGUUUUAAACACCCCUGCCAUGUUUUGAAGCCACUGCACACCUCCAUAACAUUACAUUGUCUGAAAGGGUGAAUGGUAUAUUUUCUGUAAUGUAUUUGUACAUGGUUUGGACUUAAUUAGAUUUCAUUGCACUUAAUGUUUAAUUUGACGUUAUGCACCACUUGUUGCCAUCAUUCUGUUGUGUGUCACUAAGUGUGUGUGUGUGUGUGUGUGUGUGUGUGUGUGUGUGUGUGUUUCUUAUGUGUCUGUGCAGAAUACAGUGCAGUGUCACGUUCUCAAAAUUGUGUUAUCUAUAUUUAUAUCAAUGUGUCCUGACCACCUUUACUGUGUCUUUUGGUCUGUGUAUGUCAUGUUUUUUAACUUAAUGUUUGUCUGUUAGAGGUCUUGUCUUGAGAGAGGUGAGUGAAGGUGGAUCAGGUGUUUUUUUUCUUUUAGGGAGUUUCAUAGUGAGCAAUGCGAAUGAAGCUGGUCUGUGUAAAAGUCAGGGUGACAGAAGGUUAAAAUGUUGACUUUAGUUGAAACACUUUACAUUCUUUCAGUAAUUUGGUGUAAUACUGAUUCAAACAGUGGGUGGAGAUUUGUUCCUAUAAGGAUAAUCCAAUUUGGUUUAGAUUGCAUAGUCACAGACAUAAUGUCUGUAAGCAAAUUAAUAAAACACACUUGAUCCAUUUUACGUAACUAUGUAACUUAACAUAAUACGUGAAUCAAGGGAAUUCAUUUUAAGCAAGCUUUUCUUUUUUUUUAUUUUGGCUACAGUCUAAUGUGUGUGUGUGUGAUGUAAAUGUUUCUGAUGUAUUAACUAAGUCUCAAUGUUUCCACCCCUGUCUUUGAACCGAUUAAAUAAGCCUGGACCUGUA